CACGAACAAUACAAAACAUCACAACAAGCCAAAUACAUUGUAAAACAAACCACAAUAAGUUGAUCAUUGAAAUGAAAAAUUCACAAAGUAAAUGCAACCAAAUUAGAUCGACGAAAAAUUGGAGCAUCUCAACAAACCAGCCAAAUACAUUGGUAAACAAAAAUCACAAUGAAUUGAUAAUCAAAAUGAACAAUCGCCAAGUAAAUGCAAAAAAAAUGAAAAAAUAAAAAAAUAAUUAAUUACGUCCACGAACAACACAAAACAUCUCAACAAACCAGCCAAAUACAUUGGGAAAAAAAGACCACAAUGAAUUGAUCAUCAAAUGACCAAUCAGUAAAUAAAUGCAACCGAGUUAAAUCCAACGGCAACACUACACAACUCAACAACAUAAAGAAACUCAAAAUGGACAGCAAUCCAAAGUAUAAGAGGGAAUUUGUAUAUUGAUUACAAACAAUUGAGAACAAAGACCACAGCAAAUCAAUCAUCAAAAUGAAAACUCACUUAGUAAAUGUAACCAAAUUAUAUCCACGGAAAACAAAAGACUACAAGAAAACUAUCAUUCCCUCACAAGCAACAACUCUCACAAAUUGAAUCAGAGGAAUAAAAGUAAUAAAUCAAAAGAAAAUCACAGUUACCAUAAAAGAAAAAAAAUCACAAAAUUCUAGGGCAUAAUUCAAAUACUUCCAUAAUAAAAAUUAAAAGGUACGUCUAUAUCUAACAACCCAAGAAAGACCCAAAUAAGAAUUUGUUGGGAAAAAAAUGAAUCCACUCAAACUGAAACAGAGUCUGCUGUAAAUCAAUUAAACUACUCAGCGGACAGUAAAACCCAGAAAAAUCGCAGAUAAGAUGAAUCGGUAUCCAACAUUUGAAGUAUGUGAGUCAUUAUUAAUAUCAAGAAAGAAGUAGGCCUGAAAGUCAAUAAUGUAAUUCCGAGAAAUACCCAUAUAACAUCUUUUAUAGAAUUCAACAGUAUAAUAGUAAUAGAUUAAACAAACUGACUUACUC
rnacentral:lncRNA from 1 species